UACGUAGGGUGCAAGCGUUAAUCGGAAUUACUGGGCGUAAAGCGUGCGCAGGCGGUGAUGUAAGACAGGUGUGAAAUCCCCGGGCUUAACCUGGGAACUGCAUUUGUGACUGCAUCGCUGGAGUGCGGCAGAGGGGGAUGGAAUUCCGCGUGUAGCAGUGAAAUGCGUAGAGAUGCGGAGGAACACCGAUGGCGAAGGCAGCCCCCUGGGCCAAUACUGACGCUCAGGCACGAAAGCGUGGGGAGCAAACAGG
rnacentral:rRNA from 1 species